rnacentral:rRNA from 1 species
AGCCAUGCAUGUCUAAGUAUAAGCAAUUAUACAGCGAAACUGCGAAUGGCUCAUUAUAUAAGUUAUCGUUUAUUUGAUAGUACCUUACUACUUGGAUAACCGUGGUAAUUCUAGAGCUAAUACAUGCUGAAAAUCCCGACUUCGGAAGGGAUGUAUUUAUUAGAUUAAAAACCAAUGCCCUCUGGGCUCCUUGGUGAUUCAUAAUAACUUUUCGAAUCGCACGGCCUUGCGCCGGCGAUGGUUCAUUCAAAUUUCUUCCCUAUCAACUUUCGAUGUUUGGGUAUUGGCCAAACAUGGUCGCAACGGGUAACGGAGGGUUAGGGCUCGACCCCGGAGAAGGAGCCUGAGAAACGGCUACUACAUCCAAGGAAGGCAGCAGGCGCGCAAAUUACCCAAUCCCGAUUCGGGGAGGUAGUGACAAUAAAUACUGAUACAGGGCUCUUUUGGGUCUUGUAAUUGGAAUGAGUACAAUUUAAAUCUCUUAACGAGGAACAAUUGGAGGGCAAGUCUGGUGCCAGCAGCCGCGGUAAUUCCAGCUCCAAUAGCGUAUAUUAAAGUUGUUGUGGUUAAAAAGCUCGUAGUUGAACCUUGGGCCUGGCUGGCCGGUCCGCCUCACCGCGUGUACUGGUCCGGCCGGGCCUUUCCCUCUGUGGAACCUCAUGCCCUUCACUGGGUGUGGCGGGGAAACAGGACUUUUACUUUGAAAAAAUUAGAGUGCUCCAGGCAGGCCUAUGCUCGAAUACAUUAGCAUGGAAUAAUAAAAUAGGACGUGUGGUUCUAUUUUGUUGGUUUCUAGGACCGCCGUAAUGAUUAAUAGGGACAGUCGGGGGCAUCAGUAUUCAAUUGUCAGAGGUGAAAUUCUUGGAUUUAUUGAAGACUAACUACUGCGAAAGCAUUUGCCAAGGAUGUUUUCAUUAAUCAGGAACGAAAGUUAGGGGAUCGAAGACGAUCAGAUACCGUCGUAGUCUUAACCAUAAACUAUGCCGACUAGGGAUCGGACGAUGUUAUUUUUUGACGCGUUCGGCACCUUACGAGAAAUCAAAGUGCUU